GUGAAUCAUCAAAUCUUUGAACGCAAAUUGCGCUCCCUGGCAUUCCGGGAAGUAUGCCUGUUUGAGGGUCAGUAUUAACAAAAAAAUCGGUUUGGUUGCAAGUUGUGACGUUUCCGGAGUUUCGGAUAUCUUAACUCUUUUGGUUCAGGGGCUUAAAAUUGACUUUUCAUGCGCAUUUUUAGUCGUACUUAUAUUUUUUUUUUCGUAGUAUCUUCUUAACUCCAAA
rnacentral:misc_RNA from 1 species